UACACACCUCUAAUCUCUUAAUACACACCCCUAUUAUUUUAUAUUUUACAUCAGAUUUUAUAGGUAUGUUUAAUUACAAAAACAUCCAUCAAUUAUUAGGGGAAAAAAAAAAACUUUACUACUUCCCUAAAACCUAACACUUCUCCACUAUUACUAUGCAUCAAAAGAAAAGAAAUAAAAACCUCUUCUCCAAAAUCCAUCACCUGAAUUUCAACUACUGUCGUAAUUACAUGUACUAUUUACCGAUUCAUUUGGGUUUUUUAAUCAACUUUAGUUAUGCUAUUAUACUUCUAUUAGUUUCUUAACUUUGAAAAAAUUAUGUAUGUUCAAUUUUUUUUUUCUUCAAAUUCUAGCCGAUUGAUGUCAUAUUGGAGAUUUGGAGUUCGAAUAUAAUGUUACUCUUUUGAUUAUAAAUUGAAAAAUAUCAAGAAAAAUUUCUAACCCAAUCAAAAAAAUCUAACAGAAAAGAAAAGAGAAUAAGUAAAGAGAGUUGUGAAAUAGUAAAAAUAUAAUACUUAUAUUAAAUAAUAGAUUAUUAUUAGUUUUAGAUAUUGAGGGUAUUUUAGACAGUUUGGGAUGUGUAUUUAGUAUAAUAUUGAAAUGAAAAAGUAGAUGAGUAGUGUAUUAAGUAAGAGAUGUGUAUUAAGAGAUUAGGGGUGUGUAUUUAAAAUUACUCUUAGUUGUAUUGUAUAAAAAAUAAGAAACAUAUUAAAAACAAUAAAAAACAAGUAAUUAUUAGGGCCUAAAGGGCGGGCUUUUAGGGCCGGACCGGGCUUGGCCCUAAAGGACUCAAUAGGAUAGGGCCGUAGGGUAGAGCCGGGUUUCGUUUGCUUGACCCUUGCCUUACCCUAAUUAAAAAAGGCUAGGGCCGGCCCGCCCUAACGGAGGGCCGAGUAAGGCUUCGACCCUAUAGGGUAGGGCAGGCUAGGGCCGAAGGGACAAAUGAUAAGGCCUAUACACACACACACACACACACAUACAAGCCUAUUCAGAUACAAACAUCCUUAAUUAUUCAAAAUGUACGUCUUUUCUUAAUUUGACAAAUUUUCAGCUAAUUUAGAGAUCGUUAAGGUAUCGAAAAUAUAUUAAAUCAAUGAACGAAUUGAAACUGUUCAACCUGAACCGUUUGUGUUUUUAGUUCUAAAUCACAUCUUUGAAUACCUUCACGAUUAUCAAUUUGGCUAAAAAUUUGUAGAGAUGAUCUACUCAUAUAUACUUACAAUGUGAACGGUUAAGAUGAUACUAUAUUAUCUAAAAGUGGGUCAAUUAAGAAAAUUCGUACAUUUUGAAUAAAUAAGGAUAUUUGGACCUGAUAAUAUCUAUAUAUGAUAAUAUAUAUAUAUAUAUAUACAACCUUUCUCGGCUGCGGACGUCUGCACCAAUGAUUUUGGUGCGGAUUUCCAUUUUUGCACCACUUUUUUAUCGAAUUUCCUCAUCUCCACCGUAUAGUAUCUAGAUAAUAUUGUGUAGAUCAUCUCUGCAAAAUUUCAGCCAAUUUGGUGCUCGUUAAGGCCCUCAAAAUUGUGUUUUUCUGGUAUAAACAUGAACCGGACAGAAUCCAGUCCGUCCAUUUGUUUUUCGAGUUUGAGGUCCUUAACGAUCACCAAAUUUGCUGAAAUUUUGCAGAGAUGAUCUACACAAUAUUAUCUAGAUAAUAGACCGUGGAGAUGAGGAAAUUCGAUCGAAAAGUGGUGCAAAAAUGGAAAUCCGCACCAAAACUU
rnacentral:lncRNA from 1 species